UCUCUCUGUUUCUCUCUCCUCCUCUGCCUCUCUCUCUCCUCAAAAUCUAUUUCCUCCAUUUUCGUCGGCAUCAACGCUACAACGAAGGUGAAGGUGCAAAUCUGUCUUCGUCUCGUCAAUCUCAUCUCCCUCAAACUCUCCGCCUCUCCGUGAAUGGCCAUUGCCGUCCGUAACUCGUCGCCGCCAUUCUCCAGCUCUUCGUCGUUGUCUCAAGGGUUUCGUGAAAGAUUUGGUAACAUCAUCGACCAUAGCCUUCGACGUGGCCGGCGAACGACGACCGAGGAAGCGAAAGAGCACCAAAGGAAGUAGACGAAAGAGAAGAGCCGCCUACACAACCACCUUUACCUCGUCGUGCAUUUGAGAGGCAGCCACCUUGUCUGGAGGAUACGGCGGUUUUCUCUAUGUAUUAGGACUAAAAGACUAUUAGUUUAAUUUUAGUUAUAUUUAGUUACGAAAAGAAAGGGUUUAGUUACUUACUUUCUCAAUUAUUGUUUUCGUUAAUGAUUUGUUAUGAUUUGUUGUGUUUAGUUAAGAAAUAAAAUAUUUUGAGUUAUUCAUUGUUUUAGUUUAAAAUAA